CUAAAGUUUUCUUUAUAUUUUUCGCAAUCUUCAAAAGUUUCCACAGGACACGUCUUUCACUUGUUCAAGCUCAAAUUUCCUGUGGUUACUUCUUGAGUGCUCCUAAGUAAAAGAAAAAUAUCAAAAAAAAAUAAAAAGAAUUGCAGGUUUCGAACCGUGUUGUUCGCAAGCUGGAUUGAUUUGUCUCUUUUCCACCAAAUCGAUAGUUGCCAGAAACUUUCGGAAGAUCGGGCCACACUUAUUCUCCUCAAGUGGUAAUCAAAGCUUCAAACAUAACGUUAGGUUCACAUCUACCCUUAGUUUCGAGUGUCCUUGUGUUCGUCCAAUAAGUCUGGUGCCAUAUUAUUUUCAUGUCCUACAACCCAUCCGCGCGAUAGCCUUUGCAUAUUUCAGUUUCAGAGUCCGUAGUGUUGAGUUUGUGUCCUGGUCGAGGUCUUGUUACUGGUUAGGUCUUGUUAGAGUCCAAUUUGUGUGUUUCUUCCCACCGUUUCCAUCAAUUUAUAGCCACCGCCGCAAAUUUUCCCACUUCUGGACUAUUUUGUCCUCUAAUUCGGAGUCCGUUCUUAAAACAGCCAUAACUUUCGCAUACGAACUCCGAUUUUGACGUUGCAUAUAUCAAAAUCGAUCAGAAAAUUUUUUUGGGUCUGUCUAUGCCCGCCAAAGGCGGGUUCGACAAAUUUAGAAUCCCCAAAUUCGCCUCUGAAGUUUGAGUUUUCACCUCCUAAAGUUUUCUUUAUAUUUUUCGCAAUCUUCAAAACUUUCCACAGGCCACGUCUUUCGCUUGUUCAAGCUCAAAUUUCCUGUGGUUACUUCUUGUGUGCUCCUAAGUAAAAGAAAAAUAUCAAAGAAAAAUAAAAAGAACUGCAGGUUUCGAACCGUGUUGUUCGCAAGCUGGAUUGAUUUGUGUCUCUUUUCAACCAAAUCGAUAGUUGCCAGAAACUUUCGGAAGAUCGGGCCACACUUAUUCUCCCCAAGUGGUAAUCAAAGCUUCAGACAUAACGUUAGGUUCACAUCUACCCUUAGUUUCGAGUGUCGUUGUGUUUGUCCCAUAAGUCUGGUGCCAUAUUGUUUUCAUGUCCUACAACCCAUCCGCGCCAUAGCCUUUGCAUAUUUCAGUUUCAGAGUCCGUAGUGUUGAGUUUGUGUCCUGGUCGAGGUCUUGUUACUCGUUAGGUCUUGUUAGAGUCCAAUUUGUGUGUUUCUUCCCACCGUUUCCAUCAAUUUAUAGCCACCGCCGCAAAUUUUCCCACUUCUGGACUGUUUUGUCCUCUAAUUCGGAGUCCGUUCUUAAAACAGCCAUAACUUUCGCAUACGAACUCCGAUUUUGACGUUCCAUAUAUCAAAAUCGAUCAGAAAAAAUUUUUUGGGUCUGUCUAUGCCCGCCAAAGGCGGGUUCGACAAAUUUAGAAUCCCCAAAUUCGCCUCUGAAGUUUGAGUUUUCACCUCCUAAAGUUUUCUUUAUAUUUUUCGCAAUCUUCAAAAGUUUCCACAGGACACGUCUUUCACUUGUUCAAGCUCAAAUUUCCUGUGGUUACUUCUUGAGUGCUCCUAAGUAAAAGAAAAAUAUCAAAAAAAUAAAAUAAAAAGAAUUGCAGGUUUCGAACCGUGUUGUUCGCAAGCUGGAUUGAUUUGUCUCUUUUCCACCAAAUCGAUAGUUGCCAGAAACUUUUGGAAGAUCGAGCCACACUUAUUCUCCUCAAGUGGUAAUCAAAGCUUCAGACAUAACGUUAGGUUCACAUCUACUAUUAGUUUCGAGUGUCCUUGUGUUCGUCCCAUAAGUCUGGUGCCAUAUUGUUUUCAUGUCCUACAACCCAUCCGCGCCAUAGCCUUUGCAUAUUUCAGUUUCAGAGUCCGUAGUGUUGAGUUUGUGUCCUGGUCGAGGUCUUGUUACUGGUUAGGUCUUGUUAGAGUCCAAUUUGUGUGUUUCUUCCCACCGUUUCCAUCAAUUUGUAGCCACCGCCGCAAAUUUUCCCACUUCUGGACUGUUUUGUCCUCUAAUUCGGAGUCCGUUCGUAAAACAGCCAUAACUUUCGCAUACGAACUCCGAUUUUGACGUUCCAUAUAUCAAAAUCGAUCAGAAAAUUUUUUUGGGUCUGUCUAUGCCCGCUAAGCGGGUUCGACAAAUUUAGAACCCCCAAAUUCGCCUCUGAAGUUGGAGUUUUCACCUCCUAAAGUUUUCUUUAUAUUUUUCGCAAUCUUCAAAACUUUCCACAGGCCACGUCUUUCACUUGUUCAAGCUCAAAUUUCCUGUGGUUACUUCUUGUGUGCUCCUAAGUAAAAGAAAAAUAUCAAAGAAAAAUAAAAAUAACUGCAGGUUUCGAACAGUGUUGUUCGCAAGCUGGAUUGAUUUGUGUCUCUUUUCCAGCAAAUCGAUAGUUGCCAGAAACUUUCGGAAGAUCGGGCCACACUUAUUCUCCUCAAGUGGUAAUCAAAGCUUCAGACAUAACGUUAGGUUCACAUCUACCCUUAGUAUCGAGUGUCCUUGUGUUCGUCCCAUAAGUCUGGUGCCAUAUUGUUUUCAUGUCCUACAACCCAUCCGCGCCAUAGCCUUUGCAUAUUUCAGUUUCAGAGUCCGUAGUGUUGAGUUUGUGUCCUGGUCGAGGUCUUGUUACUGGUUAGGUCUUGUUAGAGUCCAAUUUGUGUGUUUCUUCCCACCGUUUCCAUCAAUUUAUAGCCACCGCCACAAAUUUUCCCACUUCUGGACUGUUUUGUCCUCUAAUUCGGAGUCCGUUCGUAAAACAGCCAUAACUUUCGCAUACGAACUCCGAUUUUGGCGUUCUAUAUAUCAAAAUCGAUCAGAAAAUUUUUCUGGGUCUGUCUAUGCCCGCUAGCGGGUUCGUCAAAUUUAGAAUCCCCAAAUUCGCCUGUGAAGUUUGAGUUUUCACCUCCUAAAGUUUUCUUUAUAUUUUUCGCAAUCUUCAAAACUUUCCACAGGCCACGUCUUUCACUUGUUCAAGCUCAAAUUUCCUGUGGUUACUUCUUGUGUGCUCCUAAGUAAAAGAAAAAUAUCAAAGAAAAAUAAAAAGAACUGCAGGUUUCGAACCGUGUUGUUCGCAAGCUGGAUUGAUUUGUGUCUCUUUUCCACCAAAUCGAUAGUUGCCAGAAACUUUCGGAAGAUCGGGCCACACUUAUUCUGCUCAAGUGGUAAUCAAAGCUUUAGACAUAACGUUAGGUUCACAUCUACCCUUAGUUUCGAGUGUCCUUGUGUUCAUCCCAUAAGUCUGGUGCCAUAUUGUUUUCAUGUCCUACAACCCAUCCGCGCCAUAGCCUUUGCAUAUUUCAGUUUCCGAGUUCAUAGUGUUGAGUUUGUGUCCUGGUCGAGAUCUUGUUACUGGUUAGGUCUUGUUAGAGUCCAAUUUGUGUGUUUCUUCCCACCGUUUCCAUCAAUUUAUAGCCACCGCCGCAAGUUUUCCCACUUCUGGACUGUUUUGUUCUCUAAUUCGGAGUCCGUUCAUAAAACAGCCAUAACUUUCGCAUACGAACUCCGAUUUUGACGUUGCAUAUAUCAAAAUCGAUCAGAAAUUUUUUUGGGGUCUGUCUAUGCCCGCUUUGCGGGUUCGACAAAUUUAGAAUCCCCAAAUUCGCCUCUGAAGUUGGAGUUUUCACCUCCUAAUGUUUUCUUUAUAUUUUUCACAAUCUUCAAAACUUUCCACAGGCCACGUCUUUCACUUGUUCAAGCUCAAAUUUCCUGUGGUUACUUCUUGUGUGCUCCUAAGUAAAAGAAAAAUAUCAAAAAAAAAUAAAAAGAAUUGCAGGUUUCGAACCGUGUUGUUCGCAAGCUGGAUUGAUUUGUGUCUUUUUUCCACCAAAUCGAUAGUUGCCAGAAACUUUCGGAAGAUCGGGCCACACUUAUUCUCCUCAAGUGGUAAUCAAAGCUUCAGACAUAACGUUAGGUUCACAUCUACCCUUAGUUUCGAGUGUCCUUGUGUUCGUCCCAUAAGUCUGGUGCCAUAUUGUUUUCAUGUCCUACAACCCGUCCGCGCCAUAGCCUUUGCAUAUUUCAGUUUCCGAGUUCAUAGUGUUGAGUUUGUGUCCUGGUCGAGAUCUUGUUACUGGUUAGGUCUUGUUAGAGUCCAAUUUGUGUGUUUCUUCCCACCGUUUCCAUCAAUUUAUAGCCACCGCCGCAAAUUUUCCCACUUCUGGACUGUUUUGUUCUCUAAUUCGGAGUCCGUUCGUAAAACAGCCAUAACUUUCGCAUACGAACUCCGAUUUUGACGUUGCAUAUAUCAAAAUCGAUCAGAAAUUUUUUUUGGGUCUGUCUAUGCCCGCUUUGCGGGUUCGACAAAUUUAGAAUCCCCAAAUUCGCCUCUGAUGUUGGAGUUUUCACCUCCUAAUGUUUUCUUUAUAUUUUUCGCAAUCUUCAAAACUUUCCACAGGCCACGUCUUUCACUUGUUCAAGCUCAAAUUUCCUGUGGUUACUUCUUGUGUGCUCCUAAGUAAAAGAAAAAUAUCAAAGAAAAAUAAAAAGAACUGCAGGUUUCGAACCGUGUUGUUCGCAAGGUGGAUUGAUUUGUGACUCUUUUCCACCAAAUCGAUAGUUGCCAGAAACUUUCGGAAGAUCGGGCCACACUUAUUCUCCUCAAGUGGUAAUCAAAGCUUUAGACAUAACGUUAGGUUCACAUCUACCCUUAGUUUCGAGUGUCCUUGUGUUCGUCCCAUAAGUCUGGUGCCAUAUUGUUUUCAUGUCCUACAACCCAUCCGCGCCAUAGCCUUUGCAUAUUUCAGUUUCAGAGUCCGUAGUGUUGAGUUUGUGUCCUGGUCGAGGUCUUGUUACUGGUUAGGUCUUGUUAGAGUCCAAUUUGUGUGUUUCUUCCCACCGUUUCCAUCAAUUUAUAGCCACCGCCGCAAAUUUUCCCACUUCUGGACUGUUUUGUCCUCUAAUUCGGAGUCCGUUCGUAAAACAGCCAUAACUUUCGCAUACGAACUCCGAUUUUGACGUUCCAUAUAUCAAAAUCGAUCAGAAAAUUUUUUUUGGGUCUGUCUAUGCCCGCCAUAGGCAGGUUCGACAAAUUAGGAUCCCCAAAUUCGCCUCUGAAGUUUGAGUUUUCACCUCCUAAAGUUUUCUUUAUAUUUUUCGCAAUCUUCAAAACUUUCCACAGGCCACGUCUUUCACUUGUUCAAGCUCAAAUUUCCUGUGGUUACUUCUUGAGUGCUCCUAAGUAAAAGAAAAAUAUCAAAAAAAAAAUAAAAAGAAUUGCAGGUUUGGAACCGUGUUGUUCGCAAGCUGGAUUGAUUUGUCUCUUUUCCACCAAAUCGAUAGUUGCCAGAAACUUUCGGAAGAUCGGGCCACACUUAUUCUCCUCAAGUGGUAAUCAAAGCUUCAGACAUAACGUCAGGUUCACAUCUACCCUUAGUUUCGAGUGUCCUUGUGUUCGUCCCAUAAGUCUGGUGCCAUAUUAUUUUCAUGUCCUACAACCCAUCCGCGCCAUAGCCUUUGCAUAUUUCUGUUUCCGAGUCCAUAGUGUUGAGUUUGUGUCCUGGUCGAGGUCUUGUUACUGGUUAGGUCUUGUUAGAGUCCAAUUUGUGUGUUUCUUCCCACCGUUUCCAUCAAUUUAUAGCCACCGCCGCAAAUUUUCCCACUUCUGGACUGUUUUGUCCUCUAAUUCGGAGUCCGUUCUUAAAACAGCCAUAACUUUCGCAUACGAACUCCGAUUUUGGCGUUCUAUAUAUCAAAAUCGAUCAGAAAAUUUUUCUGGGUCUGUCUAUGCCCGCUAGCGGGUUCGACAAAUUUAGAAUCCCCAAAUUCGCCUCUGAAGUUUGAGUUUUCACCUCCUAAAGUUUUCUUUAUAUUUUUCGCAAUCUUCAAAACUUUCCACAGGCCACGUCUUUCACUUGUUCAAGCUCAAAUUUCCUGUGGUUACUUCUUGUGUGCUCCUAAGUAAAAGAAAAAUAUCAAAGAAAAAUAAAAAGAACUGCAGGUUUCGAACCGUGUUGUUCGCAAGCUGGAUUGAUUUGUGUCUCUUUUCCACCAAAUCGAUAGUUGCCAGAAACUUUCGGAAGAUCGGGCCACACUUAUUCUGCUCAAGUGGUAAUCAAAGCUUUAGACAUAACGUUAGGUUCACAUCUACCCUUAGUUUCGAGUGUCCUUGUGUUCAUCCCAUAAGUCUGGUGCCAUAUUGUUUUCAUGUCCUACAACCCAUCCGCGCCAUAGCCUUUGCAUAUUUCAGUUUCCGAGUUCAUAGUGUUGAGUUUGUGUCCUGGUCGAGAUCUUGUUACUGGUUAGGUCUUGUUAGAGUCCAAUUUGUGUGUUUCUUCCCACCGUUUCCAUCAAUUUAUAGCCACCGCCACAAAUUUUCCCACUUCUGGACUGUUUUGUCCUCUAAUUCGGAGUCCGUUCGUAAAACAGCCAUAACUUUCGCAUACGAACUCCGAUUUUGACGUUGCAUAUAUCAAAAUCGAUCAAAAAUUUUUUUUGGGUCUGUCUAUGCCCGCUUUGCGGGUUCGACAAAUUUAGAAUCCCCAAAUUCGCCUCUGAAGUUGGAGUUUUCACCUCCUAAAGUUUUCUUUAUAUUUUUCGCAAUCUUCAAAACUUUCCACAGGCCACGUCUUUCACUUGUUCAAGCUCAAAUUUCCUGUGGUUACUUCUUGUGUGCUCCUAAGUAAAAGAAAAAUAUCAAAGAAAAAUAAAAAGAACUGCAGGUUUCGAACCGUGUUGUUCGCAAGGUGGAUUGAUUUGUGUCUCUUUUCCACCAAAUCGAUAGUUGCCAGAAACUUUCGGAAGAUCGGGCCACACUUUUUCUCCUCAAGUGGUAAUCAAAGCUUCAGACAUAACGUUAGGUUCACAUCUACCCUUAGUUUCGAGUGUCCUUGUGUUCGUCCCAUAAGUCUGGUGCCAUAUUGUUUUCAUGUCCUACAACCCAUCCGCGCCAUAGCCUUUGCAUAUUUCAGUUUCAGAGUCCGUAGUGUUGAGUUUGUGUCCUGGUCGAGGUCUUGUUACUGGUUAGGUCUUGUUAGAGUCCAAUUUGUGUGUUUCUUCCCACCGUUUCCAUCAAUUUAUAGCCACCGCCGCAAAUUUUCCCACUUCUGGACUGUUUUGUCCUCUAAUUCGGAGUCCGUUCGUAAAACAGCCAUAACUUUCGCAUACGAACUCCGAUUUUGACGUUCCAUAUAUCAAAAUCGAUCAGAAAUUUUUUUUUGGGUCUGUCUAUGCCCGCCACUGGCGGGUUCGACAAAUUAGGAUCCCCAAAUUCGCCUCUGAGGUUUGAGUUUUCACCUCCUAAAGUUUUCUUUAUAUUUUUCGCAAUCUUCAAAACUUUCCACAGGCCACGUCUUUCACUUGUUCAAGCUCAAAUUUCCUGUGGUUACUUCUUGAGUGCUCCCAAGUUAAAGAAAAAUAUCACAAAAAAUAAAAAGAAUUGCAGGUUUCGAACCGUGUUGUUCGCAAGCUUGAUUGAUUUUUGUCUUUUUUCCACCAAAUCAAUAGUUGCCAGAAACUUUCGGAAGAUCGGGCCACACUUAUUCUCCUCAAGUGGUAAUCAAAGCUUCAGACAUAACGUUAGGUUCACAUCUACCCUUAGUUUCGAGUGUCCUUGUGUUCGUCCCAUAAGUCUGGUGCCAUAUUGUUUUCAUGUCCUACAACCCAUCCGCGCCAUAGCCUUUGCAUAUUUCAGUUUCCGAGUUCAUAGUGUUGAGUUUGUGUCCUGGUCGAGAUCUUGUUACUGGUUAGGUCUUGUUAGAGUCCAAUUUGUGUGUUUCUUCCCACCGUUUCCAUCAAUUUAUAGCCACCGCCGCAAAUUUUCCCACUUCUGGACUGUUUUGUCCUCUAAUUCGGAGUCCGUUCGUAAAACAGCCAUAACUUUCGCAUACGAACUCCGAUUUUGACGUUGCAUAUAUCAAAAUCGAUCAGAAAUUUUUUUUGGGUCUGUCUAUGCCCGCUUUGCGGGUUCGACAAAUUUAGAAUCCCCAAAUUCGCCUCUGAAGUUGGAGUUUUCACCUCCUACAGUUUUCUUUAUAUUUUUCGCAAUCUUCAAAACUUUGCACAGGCCACGUCUUUCACUUGUUCAAGCUCAAAUUUCCUGUGGUUACUUCUUGUGUGCUCCUAAGUAAAAGAAAAAUAUCAAAGAAAAAUAAAAAGAACUGCAGGUUUCGAACUGUGUUGUUCGCAAGCUGGAUUGAUUUGUGUCUCUUUUCCACCAAAUCGAUAGUUGCCAGAAACUUUCGGAAGAUCGGGCCACACUUAUUCUCCUCAAGUGGUAAUCAAAGCUUCAGACAUAACGUUAGGUUAACAUCUACCCUUAGUUUCGAGUGUCCUUGUGUUCGUUCCAUAAGUCUGGUGCUAUAUUGUUUUCAUGUCCUACAACCCAUCCGCGCCAUAGCCUUUGCAUAUUUCAGUUUCAGAGUCCGUAGUGUUGAGUUUGCGUCC
rnacentral:lncRNA from 1 species